rnacentral:lncRNA from 1 species
UGCAAAAAGAGCCUAGGUGUGAAGAAAAGGGGCUCAUUAUGGAGGUCAGUAGUGAGCCCAGUGCCAGUGCCAAUGGAAGUGUGGAGAACGACAAGAUUAGCAUCAUAGAUUUUAAGCAGAGGACAACGGGGUUUGUGGAAGAAGAAGAAGAAGCAGUGGGAGGCAUAUAAAGAAGAGAAUCACUUGCAAGAGCGAAAAUAGAAAGGGGAGUGGGAGGUGCGGAAAGAAAGAAGAAGAAGGAAAGUGGGAUCCAAAAAAAGGAAAUAAAAUAAAAAAGAGUUGAUCAAAUAAUAGAAAACGGAUCAUAUAAAAUUGUACUAGCAACGAGGGAUAGAAUGACCAAAACUCUCAAAUAGGGAGUGUCUAAGAUAUAGAGGAGUGGAAAAAGUGCAGCCCAUAAAACAAAUGUAUAAAAUAUUCUAAAAACAUUACGAGUAAAUUCAAAAGGUAAAAAUUGUAUGCACAAGAUAUUUAAUGAGGCUUAUCUAAUGGCAUGAGAGUGUUAACAUUCGGUUGUUGGAGUAAUGUGCGGUGUGGAUUGAAAACUGAUGUUAUGUAAGACGAUUAAAAGAAAAUCUAUUAACUCCUCACUAAAUACAUAUGUUAAACUUUCAUUGCUCUACUCCUAUAAAAUGGUUGUUACGAGUAGAACAAUAAAACAAAUCACUUUUCCGUCAGGAUUGUAUCCGUGGGUGAGCUCCAAUAAGAAUGAAUCAAUGACUAUUCUUCCUUCUUAUCCUCAGGGCUCUUAAUUCUUGUUGAGAAUGCAGCGCUGCAAAUGCUUAGAAGGAAGCAGCAGGAAGAAACUCAGCAACUAAAGUUAAUUAGAACAGA